GACGAACGCUGGCGGCGUGCCUAAUACAUGCAAGUUGAGCGCUGAAGGUUGGUACUUGUACCAACUGGAUGAGCAGCGAACGGGUGAGUAACGCGUGGGGAAUCUGCCUUUGAGCGGGGGACAACAUUUGGAAACGAAUGCUAAUACCGCAUAGAAACUUUAAACACAAGUUUUAAGUUUGAAAGAUGCAAUUGCAUCACUCAAAGAUGAUCCCGCGUUGUAUUAGCUAGUUGGUGAGGUAAAGGCUCACCAAGGCGAUGAUACAUAGCCGACCUGAGAGGGUGAUCGGCCACAUUGGGACUGAGACACGGCCCAAACUCCUACGGGAGGCAGCAGUAGGGAAUCUUCGGCAAUGGACGAAAGUCUGACCGAGCAACGCCGCGUGAGUGAAGAAGGUUUUCGGAUCGUAAAACUCUGUUGGUAGAGAAGAACGUUGGUGAGAGUGGAAAGCUCAUCAAGUGACGGUAACUACCCAGAAAGGGACGGCUAACUACGUG
rnacentral:rRNA from 1 species